rnacentral:rRNA from 1 species
CUGGUGGCGAGUGGCGAACGGGUGAGUAAUACAUCGGAACGUACCCAGAAGUGGGGGAUAACGCAGCGAAAGUUGCGCUAAUACCGCAUACGUUCUACGGAAGAAAGUGGGGGAUCUUCGGACCUCAUGCUUUUGGAGCGGCCGAUGUCUGAUUAGCUAGUUGGUAGGGUAAAGGCCUACCAAGGCGACGAUCAGUAGCUGGUCUGAGAGGACGACCAGCCACACUGGAACUGAGACACGGUCCAGACUCCUACGGGAGGCAGCAGUGGGGAAUUUUGGACAAUGGGCGCAAGCCUGAUCCAGCAAUGCCGCGUGAGUGAAGAAGGCCUUCGGGUUGUAAAGCUCUUUUGUCAGGGAAGAAACGGCUCCGGCUAAUAUCUGGAGCUAAUGACGGUACCUGAAGAAUAAGCACCGGCUAACUACGUGCCAGCAGCCGCGGUAAUACGUAGGGUGCAAGCGUUAAUCGGAAUUACUGGGCGUAAAGCGUGCGCAGGCGGUUUUGUAAGUCUGUCGUGAAAGCCCCGGGCUCAACCUGGGAAUUGCGAUGGAGACUGCAAGGCUUGAAUCUGGCAGAGGGGGGUAGAAUUCCACGUGUAGCAGUGAAAUGCGUAGAGAUGUGGAGGAACACCGAUGGCGAAGGCAGCCCCCUGGGUCAAGAUUGACGCUCAUGCACGAAAGCGUGGGGAGCAAACAGGAUUAGAUACCCUGGUAGUC